GCCCACUGAAAUAUUUUUAAGGGCCGCAGUAUCCUAACUGUGCUAAGGUAGCGUAAUCAUUUGUCAUUUAAUUAAUGACUAGUAUGAAGGGCUUAACGAGAGGAUAACUAUCUACUAUUUAAUAAAUGAAAUUAACCUAUUAGUUAAAAGGCUAAUAUAAUCUAAAAAGACGAGAAGACCCUAAAGAGCUUAGCAGAAAGGUUUAAUAAAAGAAACUUAACCUCUUAUUAUUAAAUUCUUCUGCUUAAUUGGGGUGAUUAAAAGAUAAAUAAAACUCUUUUUAAUUAACUACUUUUUAUAAGGUAUAAAUGAUCCGGCCUGCCGAUUAUAAGAAAAAGUUACCUUAGGGAUAACAGCGUAAUGCUUAUUAAGAGCCCAUAUCGACAUAAGUGUUUGCGACCUCGAUGUUGGACUAAAAUUAAAUCAUGGUGCAGAAGCCAUACUUUUUAGGUCUGUUCGACCUUUAAUUUUUUACACGAUCUGAGUUCAGACCGGCGAGAG
rnacentral:rRNA from 1 species